UAUGUUGGUCCCGAAAAUAUCUUGUGGA
rnacentral:piRNA from 1 species